rnacentral:lncRNA from 1 species
UGGGAUGUGUUUUCCUUUACACGGGCCAAGGGAAAUUUCAUGCUAGCACAACAGAUACUUUGGACUAUGUGGUGAGGCAGGCAAAUUUCACGGCGGAAAACCUCAGGAAUGUGUCGGAUUAUCUCAAUGCAGCUAAGAAGGUGGAUGUGCAAUCCAUCGUUCUUCCAGGGGAUGUUUUAUCGAGCAUCGACAACAUACAAGGAAAGAUCAACUCCUCUGCAACUACUCUUUCUGUUCAAACAAUGGAGAACCAAGACAGGAUUCAAGAUGUCUUGGACAACAUGUAAAAAAAUACACAAUACCAUAGUGUUAUCCUUUUUAUUUUCUUCACCUUUUUUUGCUUAUGAUUUGUUGCAGGAGACUUGCGCUCAUCAUCAUCGCUGCUGUGAUGCUUUUUCUAGCGUUCAUUGGAUUCUGUAAGUCUAGGGAUUAUUAUUAUUGAUUACAUCUCGCAGCAGCACUUUAACUUGUUGAUUAUUUUUAUUGUUGUUACAGUACUCUCUAUCUUUGGACUGCAGUGCCUUGUAUACACGUAAGUGAAGUCUCAUUCUCAUUUUCCACGUGUUACCGUUUUAUGCUGAUAAAAAAUUACUUUGUGAUUUAACAAUGGACAGGUUAGUGAUCCUUGGUUGGAUUCUUGUCACCGGCACUUUCGUCUUAUGUGGUCUAUUUCUCCUUCUACACAAGUGAGUUUUUUGUUCAAUUUGUCUUACUCAAUGCAUUAAAAAAGGUUUCUCAAUAAAAGCAUUUCUUAUGCCUUUGUCAGCGUUGUUGGGGAUACGUGUGUGGCCAUGGACCAAUGGGUGCAACACCCGAAAGCUCACACCGCUCUAGACGAUAUUCUACCGUGCGUUGAUAACGCAACCGCGACCGAAACAUUGAGUCAGACAAAGCUUGUGACGUACCAGUUGGUUGAAAUUGUUGACAAUUUCAUGAACACCAUCGCCAACAAGAACUUCCCGCCUCAAGCCCGACCCCUUUAUUACAACCAGUCAGGCCCCCUAAUGCCUUUGCUCUGUAACCCCUUCAAUGCUGAUCUCUCUGACCACCUGUGCAAGCCCGGUGAGGUCCAUCUCAGCAAUGCAACUGAGGUAAAUUAAAUACUAAUUUAAAACAGAACAUAUCUUUGUAUAUUUUGUUUUGUUUCAUAAUGUUUCUUAUGGUAUGUUUUUUUUAUGCAGGUGUGGAAGAACUACACUUGCGAAUAUAUAACACCGGGAAUAUGUAGCACGCCCGGACGUCUGACCCCAAACCAUUACACCCAGAUGGCUGCAGCAGUUAACGUAAGCUAUGGUCUGUACAAGUAUGGUCCAUUCCUGGCAGAUCUGCGAGGGUGUAACUUCGUAAGGUCCACAUUCACUGAUAUAGAGAGGGAUCAUUGCCCGGGACUGAGGAGAUACACGCAGUGGAUCUACGUGGGUCUUGUGCUGGUGUCUACUGCUGUAAUGCUGUCUUUGGUGUUUUGGGUUGUAUACGCGCGGGAGAGGAGGCACCGUGUUUACACCAAAGACUACAAUGCUAUGCAUUCUGAAGCUCCACGGGACAAGGGUCCGCAGUGAGAUGUUCUGUACUUUUUGCCAGUUUUAUGUAAAUUAUGUGUUUGAGAUGUCUGGUGAGAUCUUUUGUGUAGUGAAUAAUGGAAGGAAACUGUGGUUGUGUGGUUGUUGUCACUAAUGUUCUUUAUAAUUGAUAUGUUGAGAACUACUUCGAAAUUGGAGAUGUACUGUUUUGUGGAAGUACAACCCAUCUUUGUGUUUCUUGUCGGAGAGGACAAAUCUUCAAUUCUUUAUUACUAGUAUUGCUUACCAAAAGCAUUUCUUUAUGAGCUGAUACUAGUUUCGAUAGCUGUAAUGUCUUUGAUCACUUGAAGAUGGGGGACUGAACCUAGAGGCUACUAGUACUCAUAGCACUUUGAAUGGUCGAUAAUUUCUUCACCUAAAGUUAAUGAAGAGCCUUAUGUUGUGCGUUACAACUACUUACGAGUGUAACCUCGUUUGUUGGUGUUGAAUGGGUUCACGUAAGAGAAAAGAGUAAUAUUCCUAGUGAUUGAAGGAGGCUGUUCAAAAAAAAAAAACAAAGAGAUAAAAAGUGCUCAAAUAGACUUGUUUUACAAAAUAUAACAUGACUGACUUGAAAACUCUAAACCUAACAGGUGUAUGAAAACCAAAACCAACUCCUAAUGGAUCUAAACUUACUCUUAAUGGGUUUAGUGAGAAAUUCUAAAACUUUAAAUCUUGUUUAAUCGGAGUUUAAACCAAGUGGCCCGCCCUCUAUCCUUCACAUGGGUCAGCUCAUCUUUUUCUUGGACAAACUUGAUUAAAAGUCCAAAGACUUCUUUCAAGGCUGUAGUCUUUGAUCUUGUCAUCUGUCCAAUAUAACAGACAAGUGGAUCAUGUGCUUGGUUGUCCAUCCCAUCUUGUGCCGCAGAAGUCUUAUCUUGGCUAACCACUUCUUGGGUUCGAUCCAGCUGAUAGUUAUCUAGACCGUUUUGCUGCUUAGUUCACUUUGUCGAGCAAAAUGCUCUUAUUGAUAAAUUUCCAUGUCCAGGUCUUCAUCUCCAUUUUUUGGGUCUAUGUCCGACCAUAUCGCAUCACCCGACCAUAGGUCAUAUUCCAUUUCGCGAUCGUCUGUCCUGUUCAUCUCUCGACCGUCCGUCCUUCUCAUGUCCAUUUCGUGACCACAUUUCCUUGUUCGAUCCAUUUCGUGCUGGUCCAGUCCUCAGCUGUCGGUUCAUCCAAGUAAAGCUCAUGUCGCCCAUCUCAGUCAACAUAUACCUUUGGUUCCAAUGAUGACCGCAUCAGAAAGUGCAACGUUAGCUUGAUAUAUUUGUUCAUGAUAUCCACGGAGUCUCCAAGUGAUUUCUUUUCAACAAUUGUAUUCUUAACGUAUUUUAACUCAAACCAACAAAUCCAAAAUUUAUUAGAAUUUAUAUAUCAAAUGAAAUGAUAUAAUUAAAAUGAAUUGAUAUAAAUAAAAUGAUUUUUAUAAAAAUGUUAUCCUAACUUUAUUAAAAUUUAAAUUAAAUUAAACAGAAAUAAUUAAACUAAUAUAAAAAACAAGACUACAAAAAUAUAUUUAUAGUUUUUUUUUCAAACCAAUGAAGUUAAAGCAUAGAAAUACUAGUGUCAAAAUCUAAAUUAAAAUUUUAAAAAUAAAUAAUAUAUUAUAUUUAUAGUUGUUAUUUGUGGACAUGGCUCAUAAAAACUCUUAUAAAGGCUGGCUUAAUCUACAGACUACAGAUGAAAAAAAACUCCUUUAAAUACAAAAACCCUACAGGGACGAAAAUUUAGGGUACUUGACCGGAUCUAAGCUAUUCAGGUUUUCCACACUCCCUUUUUUAUCUCUCUUUAUCUGUCUCCUCCUCCCCUGUAGACUUUGGCUUUCUGUCUCCUCAUCUCUUACUGUGAGUCCUUUUCGAGUAGAUAUGGAAGUGGCUGCCCUCAGGUCGAUGGAGACGCAGAGACAAUGGACUUGUUCUGCCACUGAGACGCUUCUCUUCCUCGUUGGAAGGAAUCUGGCUUGUCUGCUUCUCGCGGUAUACAACUGUUUCCUUAAUUUUAAUUUAUAACUCUUGUUUCACUUUGUGUUCUGUUGGAUUUGUCAUUUAUUCAAAAACCGUCCAUCCUGGAGUUGUCUCUGUGUUCCUGAAUCCAAGGCUUAUUAGAUUUUCUUAGAUUUUCUGCUUUAGGGAUACGAUUUGGGAUGGAUUUUGUUGUUUGAAUUUAGACAAGCACUUUAGCUUCUGUUAUGUCUUAAUUGGUUCGAGACGGGUCUUUGUACAAUUGAAGUUGAAUGCAGAGUUUAACAAUGUCAAAUGUACACUCUGUUAACUUGUCACGUUUACUUUUUGUCUAUUUGCAAUUGCUAUUUAUAUUGAUAUUUAUAUAAGGAUGUGCUCUUCUUGGAUUUUGUAUGAUAUAGUAAACACACAAAGACGAGUCUGCCUUUGAAAAUGUUUAAACCCUUACAGAUUGACUUUAGGUUUAUUUUGUGUACCUUUUAAGCUUCCUUUUGUGAUUUCAAUGUUUGUUUGUUAUGUGCUAUAUUGACAUUUGCCAUUUUUCAUGAUCCUUUUUAACUUGUGUUCUCGCUGAACUUUGCAUUAAUACACUAUGGAUAGUUCAGUAUUGUAUAAAAUUUCAUAAAACCUUGUCUAACAUUCAUCUUUUUGUUCUGUGAUAUCGCAGGCAGAAUCUUUGCUGAUAGGGUUGAUUGCUGAAGAUCAGAGGUGAGCAUAAGGGCCACACUUUUCAUUUUUCCCCUUCUUUUAGAUUGUAGCAGAUUUGAAUUUGACUUGUCUCUAGGCUUUCUGUGAAGGAGGGCUACAAAAAAGGACACCGAGAUGAGGAAAAUAAAGAUGCCAGUGACUCUGAUGAUGAUGACGAUGAUGAUGAGGACAACGCUGAUGAAGACGAUGAUGAUGAUGAUGAUGAUGCUAAUGAUGAAGAUUUUUCAGGGGGUGAAGGAGAGGAAGCUGAUCCGGAGGAUGACCCGGUGACCAAUGGUGGGGGAGGAAGCGAUGAUAAUGAUGAUGAUGACGAUGACGGGGAUGAGAGUGGUGAUGAUGAUGGAGAUGAGGAUGAGGAGGACGAAGAUGAGGAUGAUGAGGAAGAUGACGAAGAUGUUCGCCAGCCGCCUGCUAAGAAGAGAAAAUGAAACAUGAGAAAGAGGGGAUUGUUCAAGACUUGAAGAGGACCAUAUGUGUUGGUUUAAGUAGUGUAGGGGAAACUUAUGCUUCAUGUUGUGUACUAUUUGUUGUCGUGUGUGACUUGUCUACUUGGAUUUUAGUUAUCUUGGCUGUUGUAGAAUGUUGUUCUCUUCUUUUUGUUUUUGCAUCUGCCUAUGAAUAUGAUUCGCCGUGCUUCACAUUUUCUUUGUUGUUGCAAUUUUUCUUUCCAUUGUUUCAAAUGUUUAAAAGGAAACUCCACCAACACUAUACUAUGUUUCAUGUAUCCCAUCACGUUCUCACAUUACUUGGACCAUAGGAACUCUCUUCAUUCUAAUCAGUUCGUUUGGAUUGCUUGUCACUUGUAUGGGUUUUCUUGAGUUGACAAACCAGACAACAAGUAUUCACGUGGUUGUGGUUGCGAGACAACUAACUUUGGGUUCUUCAACAAUAUCCUAGUCUAGGAUUUAGUUCUACCAUACCGCCGGACCAUUUAGAUCAUGUCGGUUUAGGAUCGAUCUUGCCUUUUUCGAUGAGCCGGAUCGAUUUCGGUUUAGUUGAACAAAGUGUGUUCGGACUCUGAUACCAUGUUAGGAGAAGAUGGUUUUCAGAUAUCUCAAUUGAGUUUACACGAUACAAUAUAUACAGAGAGGUAGGAGACACUAGGUUAACAUAAUUACAAAUGUUCCAUAUUUGGAAGAGAAGAAUAUUGCAGCCUUUUGAAGAAGCUAACCCAGCAUUGGUGUCACACUUGUGAGUUUAACAAUCAGGAAAAGUCUCAUUGAAGUCUAUUUCCCCCUUGUUAGGUGAACCCAUUUGCUACUAGGCCAAAUUAUACAUUUGUACCAUCAUAAUUGGACUUAAUAGUUAAAUCCAUUUAGACCCAAUAACAUUUUUUUCAUAACCUUUUCUUGUUCAGCACACUAAAAAUAAAUGUAAAUGUGAUAGAUAUUACAAAUGAUUGAUUAAAGAAUGACAAUGCAUAUACAAAUGUUACAAAAGCUGAUCAAAGAAUGACAGUGCACUAGACAAUAUACAAGCAUAACGAUUCAUGAAAUAAGAGGAAUAUGAAGGCUAAAGUAGAAGUAGUCAGUAGGAAUAAUCAUUAUAAAGUUGAAUACGUUUUUGCUGCUGUUGAGAUAGAUGAUGUAUAUCCUUAACAAUGUCGAACACUGCCUCAGGCUGCGCCAACUUAAGAGCAUUCUCUGACAUUUUAUAUAAUUCGUUUUUCUUGCUGCUGAACCAAUAAUGACCUUCAAUUAAUGACGAGACAACAAAAGUUUCUGCAGAAAAAGUCUACAGUAACAACUUUAUAGUUACAACCGAUUUAUUUACAGCUAAACAUCUACAGUUAAAUUUUUAAAGCUACGGUCGAACCGAUCAUCACCAAUAAUUUAUAAAUUGAUUAACUAGUAAACAGCUUUAUAAAAUAUUGAAAAUGCUUUAUUAACCGAGACAAAGCAAACGUGAGACAACCAUGAAUAUAAUUAAUAGAAAAAAACUAAAAUAAUUAAAAAUUAAAAGUUACCGUAGAAUAACUAACCUAAAUCUAAAAAUACUAGUUCAACUUUUAAUACAUAAAAUUUUGUUUGAUGUUGAAUUAAUACUUUAGUUUAGCAAUUUUUAAAAAUGGAUAGCUUAAAAUUAACUUAUAUAUAAUACAUUGUAAUUCAAACAUAAGUUAAAAAUAAUUAUUUUGAAUUAUAUCUCUAAAGCAAACUUAAACAAUAAUAAUUCAUAUCACCAGUCAAAGCCUAUAUUAAAAAAAUAGAAAUAAUCAUAAAAAGAAAGAGGCAGCGCAUCAUUCCAACAGAAUUAAAAACUACAUUGGAAAUAAAUAAAAAGAAAGAAAUCAGGGAAAUGUGAUUCGAGGAAGAGAAGAAAACCGCGUCAAGCGGGAUAUCAAAUCAAUCGUGUUGUUAACACGUCUGCCAUUGAUUCUCUAUCACGAUUCGAUUAAAACAUAAAAACACUGAAACGAGAGAAUAUACAAAAAAAAUAAAAACAAUCUCGAAAAACACAAAGACAGAAUGUUGUGUUCCAGAUCUAAAACAGUGUUCGUACUUUUCUCAUUCCUUCUUGUCGCCACUGGAAUAUCUAUUGCUGGUAAGAAAGAAAGAAAGAAAGAAAGAAAAAAUAAUUCAACAUUCUUGUAUUUUGAUUUUGUCUCUGUUGAUAUGUUUUUACUUCUAAUUUUGGGUUUGGAUGGUUUCAGAAAAGGAAGCAGCAAGUGUUGAAGAAGAAUGGGGGACAAGUGUGAAAGAAAGGUUUAUGGCAGAGGAAAAAGGAGAGAACUCGUCUCUGAUUUUGGCUGCAAACAGAACAAAGAGGAAAGACCCUACUGAGAAUUUCAACAUUUACACUGGUGGAUGGAACAUAAGCAAUACCCAUUAUUGGACUGUGAGUCCUUUCUUUUAUUUUCUGUGGUCCUAAGUUUUCUCUGUUGCUAGUGGAGUUUGUUUGCUUAAUCAAACGGGAUUAGCAUUCAUUAGUUCUCUCUCUUUUUGAAGCUUUUUUGACUUUUUUUUUUCUCAUUCUUUGCUUUGUGUGUGCAUGCAGUCUGUUGCUUAUACAGCGACGCCUUUCUUUGUGAUAGCAGGAGUCUGGUUUGUGGUCUUCGGGCUAUCCUUGUCUCUCAUUUGCCUUUGCUAUUGCUGCUGUGCCCGUCAGCCUUACGGCUAUUCCAGGGUUGCUUAUGCUCUCUCCCUUAUCCUCCUCAUAUUAUUCACAAUCGCUGCAAUGUAAAUUGUCUUUUCUCUGGCUCUUUUUUUUGUCAUUCUUUUUUUUAAUUAAAAUAAGCUUUUUGUGUUUGAUAUUUUCCAGUGUGGGAUGUGUUUUCCUUUACACGGGCCAAGGGAAAUUUCAUGCUAGCACAACAGAUACUUUGGACUAUGUGGUGAGGCAGGCAAAUUUCACGGCGGAAAACCUCAGGAAUGUGUCGGAUUAUCUCAAUGCAGCUAAGAAGGUGGAUGUGCAAUCCAUCGUUCUUCCAGGGGAUGUUUUAUCGAGCAUCGACAACAUACAAGGAAAGAUCAACUCCUCUGCAACUACUCUUUCUGUUCAAACAAUGGAG